CCUCCGGUACAAUCGGAAAGGCGCCCCCCUUUACUGGUGGNCGUCCAAAGACGCCAAUGGGUUGAACAGGAAUUGUCGGAUUAAGGCUUUUCUUAACGUGGCUAAGGGAAUAUUUCCCUUUACGUUGUGUAGUGCUAAAACUUUUGCGAGGGACACGCUUA
rnacentral:sRNA from 2 species